GUGAAUGACAUCAAGGAAACAGGAUCAAAAAGAUCAUUCAUUAUAGAAUGUUUCAUAGUUGGUUAUAUUUUUCAGGUCCUCCUGAUCAUUCUGUUCUCCUGGUUGUGAGGAUGUGCAGAGGCUGUAUUUGUUAGUGUUAAAAGACUUUUGCAGCUGUAUCCAGACAUACAAGCAGCCGACAAAGAGUUCUGGAGCAGGACAGACAGGUAGUUCACAGUGGCUAGGCUAGAAGUUUAUACUUGGGUGGCCAGAAAGUGGCCUCCGCUAUUUUGGGGGGUCCAUACAAAUACACCAGUGUAAGCUAUACUAUUGCACUGAAAAAAUUAAAUGAAAGAAUUAAUUAAUCGGUUGAACACAAAAUAU